rnacentral:rRNA from 1 species
AUUGAACGCUGGCGGUAUGCUUAACACAUGCAAGUCGAACGGUAACAGGCCUUCGGGCGCUGACGAGUGGCGGACGGGUGAGUAACGCGUAGGAAUCUGCCUCAUAGUGGGGGACAACGUGGGGAAACUCACGCUAAUACCGCAUACGCCCUACGGGGAAAGCGGGGGAUCUUCGGACCUCGCGCUAUGAGAUGAGCCUGCGUUAGAUUAGCUAGUUGGUAGGGUAAAGGCCUACCAAGGCGACGAUCUAUAGCUGGUCUGAGAGGACGAUCAGCCACACUGGGACUGAGACACGGCCCAGACUCCUACGGGAGGCAGCAGUGGGGAAUAUUGGACAAUGGGCGCAAGCCUGAUCCAGCAAUACCGCGUGUGUGAAGAAGGCCUUAGGGUUGUAAAGCACUUUCAAUUGGGAGGAAAACCUGCCGGUCAAUACCCGGUAGCUUGACAUUACCUUUAGAAGAAGCACCGGCUAACUCCGUGCCAGCAGCCGCGGUAAU